GACGUAGGGUGCGAGCGUUGUCCGGAUUUAUUGGGCGUAAAGAGCUCGUAGGCGGCUCGUCGCGUCGACCGUGAAAACCUGCAGCUUAACUGUGGGCUUGCGGUCGAUACGGGCAUCACUGGAGUUCGGCAGGGGAGACUGGAAUUCCUGGUGUAGCGGUGAAAUGCGCAGAUAUCAGGAGGAACACCGGUGGCGAAGGCGGGUCUCUGGGCCGAUACUGACGCUGAGGAGCGAAAGCGUGGGGAGCGAACAGG
rnacentral:rRNA from 1 species